CGUAGGGUCCGAGCGUUGUCCGGAAUUAUUGGGGCGUAAAGGGCUCGUAGGCGGUUCGUCACGUCGGAGUGAAACUACGGAGCUUAACUCCGAGCCUGCUUCCGAUACGGGCAGACUAGAGGUAGGCAGGGGAGAGCGGAACUCCUGGUGUAGCGGUGGAAUGCGCAGAUAUCAGGAAGAACACCGGUGGCGAAGGCGGCUCUCUGGGCCUUACCUGACGCUGAGGAGCGAAAGCGUGGGUAGCGAACAGGAUU
rnacentral:rRNA from 1 species